GACGUAGGGCGCGAGCGUUGUCCGGAUUUAUUGGGCGUAAAGAGCUCGUAGGCGGCUUGUCGCGUCGUCCGUGAAAACCUGGGCUCAACCCAGGCUUGCGGUCGAUACGGGCAGGCUCGAGUUCGGUAGGGGAGACUGGAAUUCCUGGUGUAGCGGUGAAAUGCGCAGAUAUCAGGAGGAACACCGGUGGCGAAGGCGGGUCUCUGGGCCGAUACUGACGCUGAGGAGCGAAAGCGUGGGGAGCGAACAGG
rnacentral:rRNA from 1 species